rnacentral:lncRNA from 1 species
CUCUCUCUCUCUCUCUCUCUCUCUCUAUCUCUAUCUCUAUAUAGAGCUAAGGAGACUAUGCUCAAUGAUAUUAUCAUCUACCAGUUUCGUGAAGAGCUCAUUCAUCAUCUGAUCCCAUCUCCAGCAGAGUGAGAAGGACUAGUGGCCCAACAAAGGGGGGGAUCGAUGGCGGUCUGCCAAAUGCCACGACCGGCUCCGCAUUCUCGUUCACCACAGGCCGCUCACUCAUGCCGCCAUCAUCUUCGUGCCUGUUCCUGACUGAUAUCGUCAUUGCUCCUGUGUAAUCAUCACAGAGAGAAACAAAGAAAGGAAACAAAAAAAAAAAAGAAAUUGAAUUAAAACAGUUCAUUGCAAGCAAAAAGCAAAAUGAGAUGAUGAUCCACCCCCAUUAGUGUUGACGCACUCAUCUCUUACUUGAUGUGCCUCCGAGUGGAUGGAUUUUUUUCAGAGUGUUCUUCACAGGAAACUUGGUGAUUCUAAGCAUUGUUGGGCACUAGACUUUGAUGAAUUGGGGAAGCUGCUGAUCCUGUAAUGCAGACAUAAACAAGGGCAGACCAGGGUUAACUGGUGAUGGAAUAUGGUACAAAGUCACAAUGUAUUUUGCUCCAAUUAACUAUCUUUUUGAGAAAAGUGAUAGGCGUUAGCUUAUAAUAGCGUAUUAUCUUGCAUUGAUACUAUUAUAGAUCAUAUAACAGAAUAAUGCCGUACUGUCCUCAGGAAAAAAAAAAGACUAUAGAGAAUCUGAUGAAGAUCCACGAAAGAAUUAUUUGUUUUAAAAAAUAUAACGUUAAUGGCGUUAAUAUAACAAUAUAGGAUGCUAAACUAAGGAACUCGACAAGUUUUUUGUCGUAAGACCAAGUUCAAACUUAAAAUGUGAGUUUCUAAAAAACUGAUGAAGACUAGCUGAAGGCUGGUUAGGAGCUUGGGGAGAGAAUACAAUGUGUUUGGCGAGGAGUGGAUAAUAAGAAAAUCCACUGUUAGAAAGAUGGAAAUGGAUGAGGUGAAUUGAUGUAAACGAAAGGCGAUGGUUAUUGAUAGGUACAAUAUGCCUUCACAAUUAGCGACAAUGAUUAUGUUACAGUAUAUCCCAGUGGCCAUGCACCUGUAGAUUCUCAGGUUCUUGAUUCUAACUGUCGUGUAAAUUGGAAUGCUAAAGCUAUUCAAAGAUUUACGAAGACUAACACAUGCAAAUUUUAGAUGGACAGAGAAGCCAGAUUUAAUCCAAUAGUCUUAGACCUCAGACUGAUGAUAUCAUAGACCAACUAGCUAGUUCUCUAAUCUUCUCCAUGUCCCAUCUGAGGAGAUGGCACCAUCAAAGACACAUAAUGCUGAGAAAUGAGAAGUCGAUGGAAUUCAAUACUAGGGCUAUGGGUGGCUGAGAUGUCAUACAAACCGAAUAAAGAAUGGGCUUCAGUGGUCGCAUCUUCAAGGACCUUUGUCUCAUGAUACCCUUGCACACAACUCAGGUUAGCAAUCGCAACGACACCAUCUUCAUCAAUUUUUGUAAACUAUUUAAUUUUUUGUUAAUCUAGAAAAAUAAUUAGUCAAUGUUGGAAAGCUAGCAUGUGUCGUUGGAAGGCACCAAGAUGGGUUCUAGAUAAUAACAACAAAAAUCUCUUGAAAGCGUCAGUUACUGUGAAUUCACAAGAUUCCAUGCUCUGCUCACCAUUAUCACUGUUUUAUAUGAAACUUACGCUCUACUGCAGCACAUAUCACUUUUCUUUGAAGAAGGAUUUCCAAAUCGUUUGAGAAAAAUUGUAUUUUUCUAGCCAAAGAAGAUCACCAAAGCAGCUCUUUAUUUGGUGAUAAAGGUGAGAGGAUUGAGAAAUUAGCAAACUACCUGAAGAAGGCCAAACAGGCAUGGACAAGAACAACGAAAGGCAGAGGAAGCCUAAUAAGCACAAGACUGCAUAAACCUUUCAAAAUGGAAAUCUAAUUUUUGUAGAUCUCUGAAAAGGUCAUUUUGAACAUUGUUGUAUUCGUUAUCAUGAACCAGAGUAAAACCAUAAAAAAUGCUCAUAACAUUGAGAUUCCAAGCUUAUAUGCCAUCAACAGUACUUCGUGUUCGAGACUUGUCAUCAUACAUGCAAAAGUAAAAAUUGAACCCAGAUCCCUCCGUAUUGCUACAUCCAUUUCCUAAGGUGCUACAAAAAGAAAGUGAAAUAUGAACCAUGAAGUUUCUCCUUGGAGAAUCCUUUAGAAUACCUUUCAGGGGAACAAUUUGGACCUUGCAACACACCCAUUGGAGUCGUUGAAGCUAAAGGGAUGGAGAAAUAACACUCAAAGCCAAAGAGAAAAUGUCAUUUAUUCAUUGGACUUUUGAUACGUGAUUUUUAUUUUGAAAAUGGGAUAUCAAACAACUUUUUGCCAACUCUUAUGGAAUACCUGAUAAGAGGAGGUAUAAACAAAGGUCACUUUAUGGGGUACUGACAAUAGUUAUACCAAGGAAGUAGUUGUCAAAGGAACAAAAUGUUUUAAAAUAUCAUAAUUUUUUUCUGUGACGUGCAAGACAAUUAUUUUGCCAACUGAAUGUGUGCACAAGACAACAGUGUGUUGAUAUACACAAUGCUUCAGAUAAUCUUUCUCGCUAAAAAUCAGAAUCCCUCACGUCUAUGUGAUCAGAUGCUAUACUAGUUCCUCGGUAGGUGUCCUGCAGACUGCAUUCUUCCAGAAUAUAAGGUGAAUGGAGAUAUAAUUUGUUUCCAUUCCAAAACAAAAGUCAAAAUCUUCCACCGUAUAGUUGACAUAUUUUAUGCACCCACCAAGCGACCGUGAUGGUAAAGCACACUGGCAUAACCAGCCAGCAACGUUUUGUUAAGCCUGAAAAUUUACCUGCAUAGUUAACUAUCAUAUUUUUUAAAAAACUAUGCAAUAGUUCUUAGAUAAUAAUUUUAUAGAGACUAUGUUUUCCAACAACGCCACUAAUUUAUUGACCAAUGCCGUCCAUCUGCACAAACAUGUUAAUUUAUCAUUAAUAUUCACGUCCUGGGGAAGAGCAUCACCACAAUCCAUUCCAUGGAAAUGAUUCCACUAAGAAAAAAAUAUUCACCGUAUCUACAACAAUGAUGAUGCAAAGUCAGAAACAUUCAAUCGAGGAUAAAUCAUCCAGGCUAUAUGUGCACGAUGGCGAGGAAUCCAAUCUACUAUCCACAAUUACAUUACACUAUUUCCAAUUAAUAAAGGUAAAAAACCAUAAAAAAUGCCCCACUUCAUCCAAAAAAAAUUAUAACAUUCAACAAGAACGUGUUCGCAAAAGUUAGUAAAAGCAAGUAGAAUCGGAAAUGUACCGAGGAGGAGAAUCGAGAUCGAAAACACGUCGUGGCCACCCCUACUCGACGAGGGAGAUGGCGCCUGGCGACGACGGCGGCGAGACCGUCAACUGAGAGGGUUUCCUUCGAGCGAGCCGCCCUACGAGGCCGCAGAGAAGCGGAGACAGAAAACGACCUCCCGAAGCUUCUGGGCUUCGCCCGUCA